rnacentral:rRNA from 1 species
AACGAACGCUGGCGGCAGGCUUAACACAUGCAAGCCGAACGCCCCGCAAGGGGAGUGGCGCACGGGUGAGUAACGCGUGGGAACGUACCCUUCAGUACGGAAUAACGUCGGGAAACUGACGCUAAUACCGUAUAAUGUCUACGGACUAAAGAUUUAUCGCUGAAGGAUCGGCCCGCGUUAGAUUAGCUAGUUGGUGAGGUAAUGGCUCACCAAGGCUACGAUCUAUAGCUGGUCUGAGAGGAUGAUCAGCCACACUGGAACUGAGACACGGUCCAGACUCCUACGGGAGGCAGCAGUGGGGAAUAUUGGACAAUGGGCGCAAGCCUGAUCCAGCCAUGCCGCGUGAGUGAUGAAGGCCUUAGGGUUGUAAAGCUCUUUAGCAGGGGAAGAUAAUGACGGUACCCUGAAAAUAAGCACCGGCUAACUUCGUGCCAGCAGCCGCCGUAA